GUUUAACGGCCGCGGUAUUUUGACCGUGCAAAGGUAGCGCAAUCACUUGUCUUUUAAAUAAAGACCUGUAUGAAUGGCAUAACGAGGGCUAAACUGUCUCCUCACCCCAGUUAAUGAAAUUGAUCUUCCCGUGCAGAAGCGGGAAUUAACACAUAAGACGAGAAGACCCUGUGGAGCUUCAGACAAUAGAUGAAUUUAUUAAACAAUUAACACCAUAUAAAAGGUAAUUAAAACAAUAACCUCAUCCUAAGUCUUUAGUUGGGGCGACCGCGGAGCAAAACAAAACCUCCGUGAGGAAUGAGGUAAAAACCUUAUACCCAAGAAUGUCAUUUCUAAGUACCAAAAUAUUUGACCCAUAGAUCCGGCAACAGCCGAUCAACGAACCUNGUUACCCCAGGGAUAACA
rnacentral:rRNA from 1 species